GACGAACGCUGGCGGCGUGCUUAACACAUGCAAGUCGAACGGAAAGGCCCUGCUUUUGUGGGGUGCUCGAGUGGCGAACGGGUGAGUAACACGUGAGUAACCUGCCCUUGACUUUGGGAUAACUUCAGGAAACUGGGGCUAAUACCGGAUAGGAGCUCCUGCUGCAUGGUGGGGGUUGGAAAGUUUCGGCGGUUGGGGAUGGACUCGCGGCUUAUCAGCUUGUUGGUGGGGUAGUGGCUUACCAAGGCUUUGACGGGUAGCCGGCCUGAGAGGGUGACCGGCCACAUUGGGACUGAGAUAUGGACCAGACUCCUACGGGAGGCAGCAGUGGGGAAUAUUGCACAAUGGGCGGAAGCCUGAUGCAGCAACGCCGCGUGCGGGAUGACGGCCUUCGGGUUGUAAACCGCUUUCGCCUGUGACGAAGCGUGAGUGACGGUAAUGGGUAAAGAAGCACCGGCUAACUACGUG
rnacentral:rRNA from 1 species